UUCCGUUAGUUGAUUUAUUUGCCUUUCCCUUUUCCGUUCAGAUCUGCCAUGACUUGGGAUAAUACUUCUAUCCAGCAAGCAGUGCUUUGGCUGGGAGCUCAAGCACAAGCAGAACGUCAAAAACAUGGGCUCUAUAUGCUAAUGGGGUAGCUGGCAAUGCAGUCUAAGGGCUGGCUACUGCUCAUCUGAUUUCUGGAUAUGAGAUGAUGAGAACUUGAGCAGAACAAGCUUGAUGCUAUGAUUGCAAAAAAAACUGUAUUACAGGUAUUCCUUUCAGUACUGUUGCAGCAAUCCUUAAUUAGCUACUUUUUUAUGAACUGGUUGUGACUUGUGAUUGAUUUGUGAACUUUAGAGCUUGUGAGUUGUAAUUUGUGAUUUCAUAGCAUGCUUGAAGGUCAAUAGAAGGAUACAUUAAAUGUAUCCACAUAUCUGUGCUUUGAGACGAGGGACAACCCUGAGAACUAGCUUCAGAUUCCAUAAAAAGUCCAAAUAAUCAUACUAAUGUUUCAGAUUUUUAGUUAAGCAUUGUAGAAUUCUUGCAAACAUAGGAGUAUAUUUAAUCUUCAUCCUCUGAACCAGGUGAGAGUUGAGACACACCAUACACAGGCUCUGCAAGCGGGCGGAAAUAGACCUCUUCGUUGAUGACUUCUACGAGGAUGAUGUUGACCUAGAGGCUGGAGCUUUGCUACUCUUUCCGGCCAACAACAAGGUAUCGUUUCCUUUUUCUCUUCGCACAUCCAAUCCUUCCCUGUUCCUAUCCCUCCUGCUUAUUUCUUGCUAUAGGGCAACACAUUGCAAGUGUUUGUUAAUUUUUUAGUCUCAAUGCUCUGAUUCUAGCAGAAGGAUUUUUGGUAUGAAGACAUAGCAUCAAUUAAGGAUUUUUGGUAGGAAGACAUAGCAUCAAUUAAGGAUUUUCGGUAGGAAGACAUAGCAUCACUCAUGGUUCUAUAGAUUUACUGUUGUAUUUCUGUACUUUUGCAAAAUUAGUUCUGUAAAGCUUGUAGAUUAUUUCAGUUCACAAGUGGUUUUACACUUAGGCUUGUAUUAACAUGAAACUUAUUUUCUCCAUAAUUUUGCAACAUUAGUUCUGUAAUACUUAAGUACAGUUUUUCUGAAAUCAAGAUAAAAUACAUAUAUAUCUAGCCAUUUGUAUUUUUACAGUCACGCUUCUAAAGAUUUUACAGUUUUAUUUUCACUAUAAAUUUGCUUCAGUAGUUCUGUAGCUUCCAAAAUAGUGCAGUUAAGAGGUUUUACUCUUAGGCUUGUAUAAACUUACAAUAUCUUUUAUUUGUAAUUUUGGAACAUUAGUUCUGUAUAGCUUUAGUUUAGUUUCUGGAAACAAGAUUAAAUACGUAUUUUUGCAGUUUGUAAUUUACAGUCAUGCUUCUACAGAGUUUACAGUAGUAUUUUCUGUGAAUUUGCUUCACUAGUUCUGUAAAACAUCCAGAAUAGUUCACUUCUGGAAUGAAGAGUUAAUAUGUAUUAAUUGGUUUUGUAAUUUACCUUCUCGCCUGUAUAGAUUUCCAGCUGUAUUUUUUUUGUUAUUUUUCUUCAGUAGUUUUCUAGACUGAAUCUCUACAGCUGUAUAGAAUCGCCUCAUGGGUAUUUCUUUUUGUUAUUUUUUUGUUAUUUAAGACUGAAUAUGAAAAGCUGGUUCUAAUUUAUUCUCAGUAUUUUUCUAUAGAUGUUACAGUUGCAUUUCUUAUUAGUUUUUGGCAAUUUUGCAAUGAGAAUGGUUUCACAACUUUAGACUUCUGCUUUAUAAGGCCCUUGUAUCCAUGAGGAAAUUUGUUACUUAUUUCUGAAUACAUCUCUUACUGUUUAUCUGUACGUUGCAGAGCAACUUAUAUUGGUGUAGCUUAGAUGCAUUUUCAGAUAUGGCAUAAAGCUAGCUAAGGGCUUCUAUUAUUUCUAGCAGCAUGUGAUUCACUGAACAAAAAAAGGACUGCAAUCACAUAUGAAAUGUUUUCUAGUUUUUUUUGAAAAAAAGCGAAGGACCAGCAGUGUAGCUAAGGGCUUUAAUUUGUUAGUACUCCAUUUGCUAUGCAUCAAGAUUCAAUCAAGUAGGAUUCCCAGUGUAUUUGCAGUUUUUACAUAGUGUGUUGCAUGUGAAUUGUGGUCACUACUGUCAAUCCAUGGACAUUUAAAUGUAUAGUGAUGGAUGAAAUGAAUGGAGAAAUCUUCUCAGUUUUUUAGUGGGGAAGGAAAGCUUCAUGAUAUUCCAUUUAAACCGUUGAUAUCUAUUUGAAAAUUAAUUUAUGUGCAUACCUACUCGAUCCUAACAGUAUUUGUGUACUGUAUAGGAGAACUCUUCUCCGUUUCUGAAUCCUGAGUAGUAGCAAGCCAGGUGCUUAAUGGUGAUCCUACCAUGCAUAUGGCAUAAGCAAGUUAGUUCUAAAAAGGUCAUUGUUAAUUCGCGCGCAUCUGUCCCGCAAUUGCCACAACUUAGUGCCGUGAGAUCAUAGGAUGGUCAUCAAUUUAAUCUAAUUUGUGGCACUGAAGUACAGAUGCUUUUCUCCGAUGCUUUAUGAAUAUAAUGGUCAGGUGCAGUGUAAGUUCAGAUGCUUUUUGUUUGGUAUUUUGCAGGUCCUCAUGUGCUUAGUACUGCAUUUAGAAAUAAUUGUGAAUAGAUUCUUCAACUUGAAAUUCAUUUCUAACAUAGGGAAAGUAUGUAUAACCUCCUGAUGUACAUGGGUUUUUGAGAAUGCUUUUCCCAGGCCAUGCUGCACUCAUCAUUGAAACUCCCAGCUGCGUAUUAGAUAGUAACCAUUUUGCCUAAUGUAUUGCCGUCUAGUGCAGCAAAGUGCGAUCUUUUUCACCCCAGAGAAGAAAAACAAAGAAAAGUAGUGCAGUCUUUUCUUCAAAAAUGACUUUCGUGUGUCCGUUCGUGGAUGUGUUGCUCCCAGUAAUUGUGUGUCUGGACAUAUUUUUGCCUUGUGGCCAGAUGAUGCAUACGCUCUUUUUCCAUUUAAUAUACUUCCUCGUCUGCAGCUUGAGGAGAUUGAUACAGGCUAUAUGGUGGGUCAUUAUGGCAUUGAUGCUUUAUUAUGUCUAACAUAUCACAUAUUCUAAUUAGAGCAUGCCCUGUUUUUAUAAUACAAAAAUCCCAGUUUGUUUUUGCCACUGAUGCUUUAUACAAUUAUUAUUUUUGACAUUAUCUCUAUGAAUGCAUGAACUCACCGGUGACCCUUUUAUCCUUUGUAGGAAUGACAUAAAAUAGGACCAGGAAGGAACCAUGAAGAUAGCAGUUUGCGUCAGCUAGACAUUUUGUGUAAUGGAGCAAAAACAAUGCGUCUUUUAGUUAUCAUUUUGCAAACCUAUAUAGUGUCUUGUCAACUAGGUCUUUUGCGUAAUGGACCAAACAAUGAAUCGUCGGGCGUGCAUCUAUCAUUUUGUAAACUAAUCAGUUGUCUCGGUGAUUGAAACAUAAAUGUGUCCUCCUUUCAGUUAGUUACUUUUACUUAUAAGAAUAUUCUUCUUUGGUUCUAGUUUAAUAUUUUCAGAGUACAUGCAAGUUACUGUAACUUGAUUGGUAUUGUGUUGCAAUGAGAUAAUCAACUUGAUUGAUAUUG
rnacentral:lncRNA from 1 species